rnacentral:rRNA from 1 species
UACGUAGGUUGCAAGCGUUGUCCGGAAUUAUUGGGCGUAAAGAGCUCGUAGGCGGUUUGUCGCGUCUGCUGUGAAAACGCGAGGCUCAACCUCGCGCCUGCAGUGGGUACGGGCAGACUAGAGUGCGGUAGGGGAGAUUGGAAUUCCUGGUGUAGCGGUGGAAUGCGCAGAUAUCAGGAGGAACACCGAUGGCGAAGGCAGAUCUCUGGGCCGUAACUGACGCUGAGGAGCGAAAGCGUGGGGAGCGAACAGG